CCCCCAUCAACGUCUCCACCGCCAAGUCCAGGAGAAGAGAGGCCCCAUUCUGCACAUGUCAUGAACACAAAUCAGGUCGAGCUCCAUGGGCACAGGGACCUUAUCUACCCACUGCCCUCAGAUUCUGGGACAGAAAGUGAUGCUCAGGAACUAUGUGUGGGAUGCACGAGUCUGUCCCUGCAGUUCCGAGUCGUCUUCCUUAUGAAAUCCCCACCGAUGAGAUGCCAUCUCCAACGUCCAGCUUUGGAUUCUUUGAGGCGGAGGGUGAG